rnacentral:rRNA from 1 species
GUACCUACGGGACGCAGCAGUGAGGAACAUUGGUCAAUGGGAGAGAUCCUGAACCAGCCAAGUCGCGUGAGGGGAGACGGCCCUAUGGGUUGUAAACCUCUUUUGUCGGAGAACAAAAACCGGGACGUGUCCCGGACUGCGUGUAUCCGAAGAAAAAGCAUCGGCUAACUCCGUGCCAGCAGCCGCGGUAAUACGGAGGAUGCGAGCGUUAUCCGGAUUUAUUGGGUUUAAAGGGUGCGUAGGCGGUCUGUUAAGUCAGCGGUAAAAUU